AAGACGGUUGGACAAGGUGACCUGUUGGAGACUUCCAGAACUCAGCCCCCAAGACUGUGGUGCUAAACACAUGGGGAAGCUCACAAUGUUCCCCAGGGAAUGGGGUCCAGUAGAUUCAGUGACAGAGAUUGGACUCUAACUAGCUUGAGCAAAACCACAAUGAGUUGGCUCCUACAGCUGGGAAGAGAGAGCUGCCAGGUUUUCUUCAAAGGAUCCCAGUGAUGACCUCUGGUGCCCUGAGUCCACAUCCUUACGGCUUGUGAUCAAAGAGAAGAGAAGCUCCUUUCUCCAGCUUCCACCUAAUAAAUCUUGUGAAGUCUCUGAUGGA